rnacentral:rRNA from 1 species
UACAGAGGGUGCAAGCGUUAAUCGGAAUUACUGGGCGUAAAGCGUGCGUAGGUGGUUUUUUAAGUCAGGUGUGAAAUCCCUGGGCUCAACCCGGGAACUGCGUCCGAUACUGGAAGGCUUGAAUCCGGGAGAGGGAUGCGGAAUUCCAGGUGUAGCGGUGAAAUGCGUAGAUAUCUGGAGGAACACCGGUGGCGAAGGCGGCAUCCUGGACCGGCAUUGACGCUGAGGCGCGAAAGCCAGGGGAGCAAACGGG